rnacentral:rRNA from 1 species
AGUGGAUGGGGAGCAACCUAGUUGUGCGUGUGUAAAGGUAGUGCCAAGAAAAGCGGUGAUCAUGAUGAAAAUCAAUUCCCGGUACCCGAAACCGACACAGGUGGGCAAGUAGAGAAUACUAAGGGGCGCGAGGUAACUCUCUCCAAGGAACUCGGCAAAAUGACCCCGUAACUUAGGGAGAAGGGGUGCCACCGAGAGGUGGUCGCAGUGAAGAGGCCCAGGCGACUGUUUAGCAAAAACAUAGGUCUCUGCAAACUCGAAAGAGGAGGUAUAGGGGCUGACGCCUGCCCAGUGCCGGAAGGUUAAAGAAGUUGGUCAGUCUUAGGAUGAAGCUAGCGACUGAAGCCCCGGUGAACGGCGGCCGUAACUAUAACGGUCCUAAGGUAGCGAAAUUCCUUGUCGGGUAAGUUCCGACCCGCACGAAAGGCGUAACGAUCUGGGCGCUGUCUCGGAGAGAGGCUCGGCGAAAUAGGAUUGUCUGUGAAGAUACGGACUACCUGCAUUUGGACAGAAAGACCCUAUGAAGCUUUACUAUAGCUUGGAAUUGUGUUCGGGCUUCCUGUGCGCAGGAUAGGUGGGAGGCGUAGAAGGUAUUCUUGUGGGGAUACUGGAGCCAACGGUGAGAUACCACUCUCAGGAGGCUAGAAUUCUAACUUAAUUAAGGACAGUUUCAGGUGGGUAGUUUGACUGGGGCGGUCGCCUCCAAAAAGGUAACGGAGGCGUACAAAGGUUCCCUCAGACUGGUUGGAAAUCAGUCGAAGAGUGCAAAGGCAGAAGGGAGCUUGACUGCGAGAAGUACAGUUCGAGCAGGGUGGAAACACGGUCUUAGUGAUCCGACGGUGCUGUGUGGAAGGGCCGUCGCUCAACGGAUAAAAGUUACUCUAAGGAUAACAGGCUGAUCUCCCCCAAGAGUUCACAUCGACGGGGAGUUUGGCACCUCGAUGUCGGCUCAUCGCAACCUGGGGCGGAAGUACGUCCCAAGGGUUGGGCUGUUCGCCCAUUAAAGCGGUACGUGAGCUGGGUUCAGAACGUCGUGAGACAGUUCGGUCCAUAUCCGAUGUAGGCGUGAGAAUAUUGAGAGGAGCCUUCCUUAGUACGAGAGGACCGGGAAGGACGCACCGCUGGUGUACCUGUUAUGAUGCCAAUUGUAAACGCAGGGUAGCCAAGUGCGGAGAGGAUAACCGCUGAAAGCAUCUAAGUGGGAAGCCCACCUCAAGAUGAGUAUUCUGGUGUAAGGUCACGGGAAGACGACCCGUAAAUAGGCACGAGGUGGAAGUGCAGAGAUGUAUGAAGCCGAAGUGUACUAAUAGACCGUCGGCUUGACC